GGCAAGAUGGCCGAGUUGGUUAAGGCGGAAGACUCAAGCUGAUCCUUACCUGUUCAACAGGCAGUAUUCUUCUGGGGCAACCCGCGCGAGUUCGAAUCUCGUUCUUGUCA